rnacentral:rRNA from 1 species
AUACGUAGGGGGCAAGCGUUAUCCGGAUUUACUGGGUGUAAAGGGAGCGUAGACGGCAAGGCAAGUCUGACUGUGAAAACCCAGGGCUUUAACCCUGGGACUGCAUUGGAAACUGUCUGGCUCGAGUGCCGGAGAGGUAAGCGGAAUUCCUAGUGUAGUGGUGAAAUGCGUAGAUAUUAGGAAGAACACCAGUGGCGAAGGCGGCUUACUGGACGGUAACUGACGUUGAGGCUCGAAAGCGUGGGGAGC